rnacentral:rRNA from 1 species
UACGUAGGUGGCAAGCGUUGUCCGGAUUUACUGGGCGUAAAGAGCGCGCAGGCGGUCGUUCAAGUCGCGUGUGAAAGCCCCCGGCUCAACUGGGGAGGGUCACGCGAUACUGAUCGACUCGAAGGCAGGAGAGGGUAGUGGAAUUCCCGGUGUAGUGGUGAAAUGCGUAGAUAUCGGGAGGAACACCAGUGGCGAAGGCGGCUCACUGGCUCGGUACUGACGCUGAGGUGCGAAAGCGUGGGGAGCAAACAGG